AAGUAAUCUACCUACGGCUCUGCUGGCACACCCAGAUGUCCUGAAACUUUCCCGAGUGUGUUCGGAGCAGCCACUUGGAAUCAUCCAGAGUCUGCCUUCUACAUGAGACCUGUCUGUCUCACCUGUACUUGGGAUGAAGUCUCCAUAUGCCAGCACUGGCAAGACCAAGCCAGGAGGACACCAAGUGAAGUCCGACUUAGGGUACAUAGUGAGACUCUGUCUGUUUGAGAAAUGAUGACGCCUGGGACAUCCAUCCUUUCUAUUAUAGCUCAGAGUGCCCAAGGAGUCACACCCAAGGCAAAGCCAAGAC
rnacentral:lncRNA from 1 species